rnacentral:rRNA from 1 species
GAUGAACGCUGGCGGCGUGCUUAACACAUGCAAGUCGAACGGAAAGGCCCAAGCUUGCUUGGGUACUCGAGUGGCGAACGGGUGAGUAACACGUGGGUGAUCUGCCCUGCACUUCGGGAUAAGCCUGGGAAACUGGGGCUAAUACCGGAUAGGACCACAUUUUGGAUGGUGUGGUGGAAAGUUUUUCGGUGUGGGAUGAGCUCGCGGCCUAUCAGCUUGUUGGUGGGGUAAUGGCCUACCAAGGCGUCGACGGGUAGCCGGCCUGAGAGGGUGUACGGCCACAUUGGGACUGAGAUACGGCCCAGACUCCUACGGGAGGCAGCAGUGGGGAAUAUUACACAAUGGGCGCAAGCCUGAUGCAGCGACGCCGCGUGGGGGAUGACGGCCUUCGGGUUGUAAACUCCUUUCGCUAGGGACGAAGCGCAAGUGACGGUACCUGGAGAAGAAGCACCGGCUAACUACGUG